rnacentral:rRNA from 1 species
CCUACGGGGGGCUGCAGUGGGGAAUUUUGGACAAUGGGCGCAAGCCUGAUCCAGCUAUUCCGCGUGUGGGAAGACGGCCUUCGGGUUGUAAACCACUUUUGUAGAGAACGAAAAGUCUAUUGAUGAUACCGAUAGAUGAUGACGGUACUCUAAGAAUAAGCACCGGCUAACUACGUGCCAGCAGCCGCGGUAAUACGUAGGGUGCGAGCGUUAAUCGGAAUUACUGGGCGUAAAGGGUGUGCAGGCGGUUUUGCAAGAUGGAUGUGAAAGCCCCGGGCUUAACCUGGGAAAGCCAUACAUGACUGCAAGACUAGAGUGCGUCAGAGGGGGGUGGAAUUCCAAGUGUAGCAGUGAAAUGCGUAGAUAUUUGGAAGAACACCGAUGGCGAAGGCAGCCCCCUGGGACGCAACUGACGCUCAUACACGAAAGCGUGGGGAGCAAACAGGAUUAGAUACCCGAGUAGUC